rnacentral:rRNA from 1 species
AAGAAACCAACAGGGAUUGCCUCAGUAACGGCGAGUGAAGCGGCAAAAGCUCAAAUUUGAAAUCUAGCACCUUCGGUGUUCGAGUUGUAAUUUGAAGAUGGUAACCUUGGGUUUGGCUCUUGUCUAUGUUCCUUGGAACAGGACGUCAUAGAGGGUGAGAAUCCCGUCUGAUGAGAUGCCCAUUCCUUUGUAAGGUACUAUCGAAGAGUCGAGUUGUUUGGGAAUGCAGCUCUAAGUGGGUGGUAAAUUCCAUCUAAAGCUAAAUAUUGGCGAGAGACCGAUAGCGAACAAGUACAGUGAUGGAAAGAUGAAAAGAACUUUGAAAAGAGAGUGAAAAAGUACGUGAAAUUGUUGAAAGGGAAGGGCAUUAGAUCAGACUUGGUGUUUUACGAUUAUCUUCUCUUCUUGAGUUGUGCACUCGUAUUUCACUGGGCCAGCAUCGAUUCGGAUGGUAAGAUAAUAGCAGUUAAAUGUGGCUACUUCGGAGUGUUAUAGUUUCUGUUGAUAUUGCCUGUCUGGAUCGAGGGCUGCGUCUUUUGACUAGGAUGCUGGCGUAAUGAUCUAAUGCCGCCC